AGCGAACGCUGGCGGCAGGCUUAACACAUGCAAGUCGAACGCCCCGCAAGGGGAGUGGCAGACGGGUGAGUAACACGUGGGAACGUACCCUUUGGUUCGGAAUAACUUGGGGGAACUCAAGCUAAUACCGGAUAAGCCCUUAUGGGGAAAGGUUUACUGCCGAAGGAUCGGCCCGCGUCUGAUUAGCUAGUUGGUGAGGUAAUGGCUCACCAAGGCGACGAUCAGCAGCUGGUCUGAGAGGAUGAUCAGCCACACUGGGACUGAGACACGGCCCAGACUCCUACGGGAGGCAGCAGCGGGGAAUAUUGGACAAUGGGGGCAACCCUGAUCCAGCCAUGCCGCGUGAGUGGUGAAGGCCUUAGGGUUGUAAAGCUCUUUUACCCGGGACGAUAAUGACUGUACCGGGAGAAUAAGCCCCGGCUAACUUCGUGCCAGCCGCCGCAGUAA
rnacentral:rRNA from 1 species